rnacentral:sRNA from 10 species
CAAAAUCGCUGCCCGGUUCGGGGUGGCAUGCAUGAGCUGCGGCCUGUUUUUUGACGGAGGGCCGCGACUUGGCAGAUGAUGACAAGGACAGCAAAACAGAAGCCCCGACCGCGAAAAAGCAAACGGAUG